rnacentral:rRNA from 1 species
UAAGACGAGCCACCCGAACGUUAUUCGGAAUUACUGGGCUUAAAGGGUGCGUAGGCGGUGCAGCAAGUCGGGAGUGAAAUACCUCAGCUCAACUGAGGAACUGCUCUCGAUACUGCUGUGCUUGAGUGAGACAGAGGUAAGCGGAACAUCGGGUGGAGCGGUGAAAUGCGUUGAUAUCCGAUGGAACACCGGUGGCGAAGGCGGCUUACUGGGUCUCUACUGACGCUGAGGCACGAAAGCUAGGGUAGCAAACGGGAUUAGAUACCCCGGUAGUCCUAGCCGUAAACAAUGAGCACUUGAUUGAAGGGCCCUCCAUAGCCCUUCAGUCGGAGCGAAAGUGUUAAGUGCUCCGCCUGGGGAGUAUGGUCGCAAGGCUG